UGCCCAAUGUAACAGCAUCAAUGGCCGCGGUACUUUGACCGUGCUAAGGUAGCGCAAUAGAUUGGCCUUUAAUUGGGGUCAAGUAUGAAUGGAGUCACGGGGCUGAGCUGUCUCUUGACUAAUAUAUUGAAAUUACUAUACAGGUGAAAAAGCCUGUGGAAAGAAGAGGGACGAGAAGACCCUUAGAGUUUUUCUUAACUUAAGCUCGUGCUUAACAAAGUUUGGUUGGGGCAACCAAGGAACAACAAUAAUUUCCUUAAAAUAAUCUACCGAUUUUUAUAAAUAUGUAUAAACUACCUUAGGGAUAACAGCAUAAUUUACUAAAUAAGUUUGUGACCUCGAUGUUGGACUAGGAAACUUACAGGCUAGCCGCCUUUAGGGUAAGUUCUGUUCGAACUAUUUAUAUUCCUACGUGAUCUGAGUUCAGACCGGA
rnacentral:rRNA from 1 species